CGGGCAUUUCGUACUUGAUUGGCCAGACAGCAAGCGAAGAUGAAAGCAAUCAACUGCAAAAAAAAAAAAAAAAAACAAAUAAAAAUUAAACAGAAUACAAUAAAUAUAUUUGUCUGCUCCAGAACUGCAAGAAUGUUCUGGAACAGAGCAUAUGUGUACACACCUCAAUACCGGCAACACCCAAGCCAGCAUAACGAAUGAUAUCAAUGUUCUUGGACCACAUUCUGUCGAAUGCUGUUUUACAACCGGGACGUGGAAGGGCCUCCACCAAA